rnacentral:lncRNA from 1 species
CUGAGCCACGGAAUUCUCGGGCUUUCCACUCGGGGCUGGGGUUCCGGCUGGCCACCUCUCGCCACCCUGUCCUCCCAUCAAAAGCACGGCUUCCCUCUGGGGAAAGCCCUGGUGUUGUCUGGCGAUGGGAGUCAUACCCCCAUUUGGUUUUAGGAUUCACCAGUUCAGCAUUUUAAACCCCAAAGGACGAAGCGUGUUUGUUCCUCUUCGCUGCCCCCGCCCCCUGUGUUAGUAAAGAUUCAUUUGCCUUGAGUGGCAUCAUUCCAGGGGUUUGGGGUGCUAACUAUAGCUCCCUUUUUUUCUCUUUUGAAAGGCUGCAGACGUCAUACACGGUACGCUUGCAUGAUGGACGCCUCCGAGCCGGCCUAGAGAGAUUGUCGCGGGGGCUGUGGGGACGCACGGAGAUUAGGUGCCCGCCUCAGGUGUCACGACGCUAUUCAGCCAGGUGCGAACCGACUGGCCUCUCCUCCGGCCCUGCGCCGCGGGCGCCCCCUGGAGGCGGUCGGGGGAGCGGGGAUCGGCGCGCCUCCCGCAGCCCAGGGGUCCCCGCCCCUCUUCUUUUCGGUGCCCCUCAGGAUCCCGCAGAGAUUCCCAGCAGCCUCUCAAAUCGCAAUAAAGUUUCCCUACUUCAGAGUCAGUUGCUGUUCUCUCACGUCCACAUCACCAUUUACACCUGGCCAAUUUCCUCUGCUCCAUCCAGACAAAUGGCUUCUUGGCCCCCACUGGGUCACCCCCCUCACUCCUCCAGUUCGGCUCCUUUCUCCAAGGUCCUUUGGUUGGUCUUGCCCCUCAGGCCCUGGUUUAGGCCGGAUCCGGGGUCCCUCCCCACACCAAGGCUUCCCGCCGCCUCCCCAUUCUGGAGAGUCAAGAAUGGAGCCAAGUUUGGUCCCUUUCCUUCCUUAGUGCUGUAUGCACACUUCAGGUAUUAUGCUUUUCCUGUUUACCAGGGCUGCCAGAUCUGGAAGUGAUGUGUGAAUAAAGGCAGCUUUUUUUUCUGCCCCAGAAGUUGCCUUUUGACUAGGAAGUAUUGUGUCCUGGGAGUGCAGGCCUGGGAAGUUGAUGGAAACUUCAACUACAUUAGCCUCAGCUGUGAGAAUAAAGAGACACUAGACAGAGCAUCAAGAGUCCCAGGGGAAGGAGAAGGGAGAGGGAGGACCAGGAAGGGUUACAAGAACCAGGGGCCCCAUGUUUGCAGACCUGGGGUGGAGGAAUCCUGCCUCUGACAUCUGUGACCUCUGGGACUGUGACCUCAAGCAAUUCAGGCUGCUUCACUUCUUGAGCCUCAGUUCCCUCUUCUGUAAAAGGGGAAUACUACUACCUACCUCAUAGGGUUGUGGUGAAGAUUAUUAACUCAUGUUAUGAAGUGCCCUCCUGGCAAAUAGCAAAGGCUAAUAUAUGACAGCUGUUCACGUGAUCCAAUCUAAGCCACUGCUCUAAUCUUUCACCUUGCUGAUUACAGACAUCUAAAAGUACCAGCUUUUCUCACUGUGGGAUUAGAAGAAAGUUCCCUGAGUUACUAGUAUUCUCCUUCAUUUUAUGGGGCUACAAUGUCCUCUCCUCAUUAGAAAGGAAGAGAGGGUAAAUGGCUUAUUUUCUUCUCCUGGGACUCUUUUUUUUUUUUUUUUAAUAUUUAUUUAUUUUUAGAGAGAGCACAGGCAUUAGCACGCAGGGGGAGGAGCAAAGGGAGAGGAGAAAGACAAUCCCAAGCAGGUUCCGUGCUGCCAGCUCAGAGCCCCACUAGGGGUUCCAUCUCACAAACCGUGAGAUCACAAGCUGAGCUGAAAUCAAGAGUCAGAUGCUUAACUUGUGAGCCAUCCGGCACUCCUCUCCUAGGAGUCUGGAGGAGAGCGUUUCAUGAUGUAGCCAGUCACUGGGGAUAAAUAAACAGGGUAAUGUGGGGGCUUGUCAGCUUCCUCCCCUAUUCAAGGGGAAUCUCACACAGGCCCCUUCCGUCAAGAAACAUUGCUGUAGCAUCUUGUCGGAACAGACCUGUGCACGUCAGCAUGCCCAUCUCUGGUUUUGGUGGAAGUCAGCAGGUUUGUAAAGAUUUCUGAAUGGGAGACUGUGUCAACCAUCCCUUGGACUAAAACCCAAGCCAGACAUUCCUUCGCCUCUAAAUACUUCUUGCUACCGAAAAUGUAAAAACAGUCUUAUCUAAAUGCCUUGUUUUGUUGUGUAGAGAUGGUCAUGUGCUGUUAAAGAACAACUACCCCUGAGGCACCUGGGUGGCUCAGUCAGUUAAGGGUCCCACUUUGGCUCAGGUCGUGAUCUCAUGGUUCGUGAGUUCGAGCUCCCAUCGGGCUCUGUGCUGACAGCUCAGAGCCUGGAGCCUGUUUCAGAUUCUGUGUCUCCCUCUCUCUCUGCCCCUCCCCUGCUCACGCUCUCUCUCUCUCUCAAAAGUAAACGUUAAAAAUAAAAUAAUGACUACCCUUAUCUUUUUUUCUUCCUAUUUUAUUGAGAUGCGAUUGAUACAUAACAUUGUGUUAGCUUAAGGUGUGUACUACCCUCGUGUUGAGUUUGAAAUAUUAACACGUCGGCACCUUGCAUUUGAAUAAUGUUGUCUAUGUUUUUAUCUUACUGAUACUAUGGGGUUGACAAGCACAUACCUUUCACUCUGUAGAUGAGGAAACUGAGACACAGAAAGAGGAAACUGAUCAUCCGCUUGUUCCCAGUCCUGGUCCAGUAUGCCCACAGGCAUCUGAAGGUCUCUGAAGGUCUCACCAGCCUCUGUGGUUGGUCACCUCGUCCUUCCAUGGGCAGAGUGAGUGGACUCGGAUUCCCGCUGUGAUCCUGUCUGGAAGGAGACAAACCCUUCAUCCAGCUCAGGGCCAGGAGUGCAUUGCAGCGCUGAGGACCAUAUGAGACAGUGAACAGGAGAGGCCCAGACUUGCUGCUCUUGCCUCAGUACCCCCCCCACGGUGGUCCUGGGCCCGCGGCAGAGAACUGAGCUCGUCUGGUAGUAAAUACUGUGAAUUGGCCGAUGCGGCUAGCCAUCCUCUAGUACGAAUGACUCAGUUUAUUAAUGCUCUGCACAAGAUGGCUCCUUCACUUGCCAGCAGCCUUAAGCAGUAUUUCAUUAAAACUGGCUUAAUUAUUUUUAAAAGACGGCCCAAUUAAAAGCUAUACAUACUUUGUAUGUGUGUGUUUAUAUAUAGAGCUGUAUAUAUAAUAUAUAUUUCUAAGCCUGUGUAUGUGUUAUAUAUAUAUAUAUAUAUAUAUAUAUAUAUACUUAGCAAUUUAAUUAUAUGGCAUAAAUUGUUGG